rnacentral:piRNA from 1 species
UAGGUUCAGAUGUUCGCACACUGGA